rnacentral:rRNA from 1 species
CCUACGGGAGGCAGCAGUGAGGAAUAUUGGUCAAUGGGCGUAAGACUGAACCAGCCAAGUCGCGUGAGGGAUGAAGGUUCUAUGGAUCGUAAACCUCUUUUAUAAGGGAAUAAAGUGUGGGACGUGUCCUAUUUUUUAUGUACCUUAUGAAUAAGGAUCGGCUAACUCCGUGCCAGCAGACGCGGUAAUACGGAGGAUCCGAGCGUUAUCCGGAUUUAUUGGGUUUAAAGGGUGCGUAGGCGGCCUUGUAAGUCAGCGGUGAAAGUCUGUGGCUCAACCAUAGAAGUGCCGUUGAAACUGGGGGGCUUGAGUUUGGUGGAGGCAGGCGGAAUGCGUGGUGUAGCGGUGAAAUGCUUAGAUAUCACGCAGAACCCCGAUUGCGAAGGCAGCCUGCCAAGCCAUGACUGACGCUGAUGCACGAAAGCGUGGGGAUCAAACAGGAUUAGAUACCCGAGUAGUC